rnacentral:rRNA from 1 species
GACGAACGCUGGCGGCGUGCUUAACACAUGCAAGUCGAGCGGUAAGGCCCUUUCGGGGGUACACGAGCGGCGAACGGGUGAGUAACACGUGGGUGACCUGCCCUCAGCUCUGGGAUAAGCCUGGGAAACCGGGUCUAAUACCGGAUAUGACUCCAUGACGCAUGUUGUGGGGAUGGAAAGCCUUGUGCGGCUGAGGAUGGGCCCGCGGCCUAUCAGCUUGUUGGUGGGGUGANGGCCUACCAAGGCGACGACGGGUAGCCGGCCUGAGAGGGCGACCGGCCACACUGGGACUGAGACACGGCCCAGACUCCUACGGGAGGCAGCAGUGGGGAAUCUUGCGCAAUGGGCGAAAGCCUGACGCAGCGACGCCGCGUGAGGGAUGACGGCC